rnacentral:rRNA from 1 species
GACGAACGCUGGCGGCGUGCCUAACACAUGCAAGUCGAGCGAGAAUCUUUUGAAAGAUCCCUUCGGGGUGAAUUUAGAGGAGGAAAGCGGCGGACGGGUGAGUAACGCGUGAGUAACCUGCCUUCAGGAGGGGGACAACAUUCCGAAAGGGAUGCUAAUACCGCAUAACAUAGCACCAAGGCAUCUUGGAGUUAUCAAAGAUUUAUCGCCUGAAGAUGGACUCGCGUCUGAUUAGAUAGUUGGCGAGGUAACGGCUCACCAAGUCGACGAUCAGUAGCCGCACUGAGAGGUUGAUCGGCGACAAUGGCACUGCGACACGGCCCAGACUCCUACGGGAGGCAGCGGUUGGGGAUAUUGCGCAAUGGGGGAAACCCUAACGCAGCAAAGCUGCGUGAAGGAAGAAGGUUUUCGUAUCGUAAACUUCUUUAAGUGGGGAAGUUGGUGACGGUACCCACAGAAUAAGCGACGGCUAACUACGUGGAUGCAGCCGCCGUAACAC